rnacentral:rRNA from 1 species
AAGAUGGCGACCGGCGCACAGGUGAGUAACACGUAUCCAACCUGCCGAUAACUCCGGAAUAGCCUUUCGAAAGAAAGAUUAAUACCGGAUGGCAUACGAAUAUCGCAUGAUAUUUUUAUUAAAGAAUUUCGGUUAUCGAUGGGGAUGCGUUCCAUUAGUUUGUUGGCGGGGUAACGGCCCACCAAGACUACGAUGGAUAGGGGUUCUGAGAGGAAGGUCCCCCACAUUGGAACUGAAACACGGUCCAA